rnacentral:lncRNA from 1 species
UAUAAUGUAAGGAUCGAUUUUAUAGUUAGUCAAAUAAUUAGGGUUUGAAUUUUUUUAAAUUGGGGAAGAACGUUACCACUAAUUAUUGGAAGAAAUUUUGGAGAUUUUGGAGCGUACAUUAAAGAUUGUAAAAUUAGGGUUCUAAUUUUAUAUAAUCUGGGAAGAAAGAACUGUUGGAGAAGAAAGAAAUAGUCGUUGGGGGAGGAAAGAACAUUUUCUGCAAAUCAAUCAAAUUCGUCCUUGGAAAUUUUGGUCACUAUCGGUCAAAUUAGUCUCUGCUUAUGUGACAUCUGACAUGUGAGAGGUUAACGGUCACGUCAGCACCGUUAACACUCCAAUUGAGAGGAGGGAUUAAAUUGACAUUUUACAAAUUCAAGGACUAUUUUGAUAUUUCGUUAAAUUAAGGGAUAAAUUUGGCUGAUUUAUGCAAAUUCAAAGACGAAGUUGAUGAUUCAUCCUUUUUUUUUUUCUUUCAACACGAAUAAAAUAAAGUUGGAAUUUAUUUUUAUGCACAUAUUGCAUAAAUUUUUCUACACACCCAAAAAAUCACGUAGAUAUUUGUGA